CUACUUCUCCCUCUGUCUCCUGCUCUGCCUGCUUGUGCUCCGUCUCUCUGGCAAAUGAAUAAAUAAACUCUUUUUAAGAAGCAGUGAAAGUACCAUCUCAAGAUGUGAGAGCAAGAAACAGAGAGAUGGAGUGGGCUACAGGGGUGGAGAGGGACAGGGCAAGGGAGCGUGCAAGCCAGCGAGCCGCCUGCCUGUGGGGUUCACCUUCUGUCUUCUACCAACAGUUGUUAACUAGGGCAAGGAUUUCUUGGAAGCAGGGAUUCGACGUCUUUUCCUUCUCACUUGCUCAAGGCCUGGAAUGUGCACAGGAUGGUUGGAACUUGGGCAGCUGCCCUGGACCAUGAAGCAGUCUUGAGCGCUGGGAGCCAAUUAGCAUGGCGUAGUGAAAGAGGUAGCGGUCAUUGAUUCAUCAGUGUUAUCUUGUUGGGUCCAUGGUCAAAGGAGCGAGACUGAUACACAGCGAAGGUCAAGCAAAGCUUUAUUUCAC